rnacentral:rRNA from 1 species
AACCAGCACCUCAAGUGGUCAGGAUGAUUAUUGGGCCUAAAGCAUCCGUAGCCUGUUCUGUAAGUUUUCGGUUAAAUCUAUACGCUCAACGUAUAGGCUGCCGAAAAUACUGCAGAACUAGGGAGUGGGAGAGGUAGACGGUACUCGGUAGGAAGGGGUAAAAUCCUUUGAUCUAUCGAUGACCACCUGUGGCGAAGGCGGUCUACCAGAACACGUUCGACGGUGAGGGAUGAAAGCUGGGGGAGCAAACCGGAUUAGAUACCCGGGUAGUCCCAGCUGUAAACGAUGCAAACUCGAUGAUGCGUUGGCUUAUUGCUAGCGCAGUGUCGCAGGGAAGCCGUUAAGUUUGCCGCCUGGGAAGUACGUACGCAAGUAUGAAACUUAA